GAUGAACGCUAGCGGCAGGCUUAACACAUGCAAGUCGAGGGGCAGCAUAAAUAGUAGCAAUACUAUUGGUGGCGACCGGCGGACGGGUGCGUAACGCGUAUACAACCUUCCCUAAACAGGGGGAUAAUCUGGAGAAAUUCGGUCUAAUACCCCAUAACAUCAGAGCAGGCAUCUGUUUUGGUUAAAAUUUCCGGAGGUUUAGGAUGGGUAUGCGUAGCAUUAGCUAGUUGGUGAGGUAACGGCUCACCAAGGCGACGAUGCUUAGGGGGACUGAGAGGUUACCCCCCACACUGGUACUGAGACACGGACCAGACACCUACGGGAGGCAGCAGUGAGGAAUAUUGGUCAAUGGGCGGAAGCCUGAACCAGCCAUGCCGCGUGCAGGAUGACGGCUCUAUGAGUUGUAAACUGCUUUUGUACGAGGGUAAAGUGGGCUACGUGUAGCCUUUUGAAAGUAUCGUACGAAUAAGGAUCGGCUAACUCCGUGCCAGCCGCCGCAGUAA
rnacentral:rRNA from 1 species